GCCGGAGUACGACCUCCUCGACGGCUUGACGGACUCGUACAACCUCGACUUCGGCCGCGGGACCUUCAGGAAGGAGGCUGACUUCACCACGGACGACAUGAUCCUCGGCAAGAAGCUCGUGAGCGUCUGAGGCGUGCAUGGACGGGCACAUGGCUCAUGGCUCAUGGCAGUGCAAAGCGUGUGGCAACAGCGUGUGCGGCGUGCAUAUGUAGCACAGGGAAGACGAUCUCAGUUUUGGGAUGUAGGUUGAGGUUCACUCAUCCGAUGAAAUGUACUGCUGACCAAACCUAAUUCUCUCCUCGUGUCAUUUGCUUUACUUCGGUUCAGUUUAUACCUGUUUUUUUGUAAUAAUAUAUCGGUUUUCUAAGAUCGGAACUGAAUUUGACCACUCAAGAUUUUGAAAAUCAAAUCUAAUGGAUAGAAACAUUCCGUUUAAGAGCAUCUCUAGCAAACCUUCUAUAAAUGGUUAAACUCUUAAUUUUUGCGUUUUACAGUUUUGAUUGAAAAAGUGUCCACAACAAACCGUAAAAGUGAUCCAACCCAUAAAAAAUUGAAGGACCAUAAAAAAUGCACACGUGAAACCUUUAUAUUUGAAGGUUGGAAGGCCAGGGGGCUCCCUAUACCGGUUUGUCAGAGCAAACACGCCGCCGCGGAGUUUGUCGAAAUCCGUCCUAAACUCGUUGGAAUUCAUCAUUGCACACCGGAAAAGGCAGCUAGAUGCCGCAAUCGAUCGCCGCUGGUUCGAAUUGGACGAGUUAGACCUCACCGUGGCCUCUCAUGGCCUCAGCCUGGCCGCCAGAAUCCUCCCGACACGACAGGCUAAAGGGCACAGCUCAGAUGGCAACGAAGCAAGACGCAGACGACGGAUGCGAAGGGGUGUGGCCGGCGGGCAACCAGGAGCGGUCGGCAGGCGACGGGCACGACCGACGUGGUGAUGGGUGCGACCAGCAAGGACGGAGUGCGGUCGACGGGGUUGGACGCGGCCGGCUGGGGGAAGAGGCGCCGGCGACCGAGUUGAAGAAAGGAGUUCUUUAUCCCGGUUUUACAGUUUGUUUUAUAGUAUCGGUUCAGCCGUAACUAAAAUGAAUCCUUAAAAUACAUUUUUCGGAUCUGUAUAUCAAUUUUACAGUUUUGCGAUUUUAAAGGUUGCGCUGAAGAUGCUCUCAGAGCAACUCUAGCACACCCCGCAUCCGUCCAACUCGUAAAACGUGUUUGCAGUUUGCGAAAAAAACACCUUUGCAGUCCGGCACGCACGGCCGCGGAUGCAGAUCCCGCAUAACGGACCCGUAAAAAAGUGUAUGCGCGAGCGCCGAGCCCUGUGGACAUCCGGACGAAUCCAUGCCCUCAAAUCGUCGGCGGCGCCGGAAGGACGAACCCGUCCCGACAUGCGGUAAUGCGCCCUUACCGGGGCUGCGGGAGAUGCUCCCCGACCACUCCAUCGCUUGGCGGAGCCAUCGGCGGCCGGCAAAAGCCAAAUCCGACGGCCCCGCGAUGAAGGUCCGCAGAUCCGCAAAUCCGGCGACCCGCCCGCGCAGGGGGGGGGGGGGGGCUCGUGUGUGUGGCGGCCUUUCGGCGAGCUCCUGCCGGCUGCUUUCGCCGGAAUCAUGGGCGGUGGGGUGGCGGCGGCGUGAGGGAGGAGACGGAAGGUGGUUGGUGGGGGAAAGCGCGGGCUGAAAUGUCCCUUCACCAACCGCUUCCGCUUAUAUGCAGGGCACCACAGUGGUGAGAGGGAAACCUGCGAAUACGCGGGUUGGGACCGAGAUUUUGCCGCGCCCCCCAAUUUUUUUUUUGACCGGGACGGGAUGCGGGUCUGAUCGGACAGUUUUUUUUUGUCCCGACCCGCAUUUUGACGGUUAUUUUCCGGGUUGGUGCUCGGUUGCUCUGACCUGAUUCCCAUACGCUCACAUUUUGCUUUCUCAUUGCUCCUAUUUGGCGCUUCACGCCUGGUGCUAGUUGUUUUCGUUCGUGGGAUUGUCCCACACCUGCGGCUGCCCGCUCCCUCAGGAGAGGACGUCAUAUGCUAUUUUUUGGCGCCCGUUGGGAAAUAGCGACCAAACGCGCACCCACGCCUGCGGAAACGGGGGGCUCUUUUUGUUGGUCUUCUUUCAUUUUACUAUUACGCCUUUUCUUUUUGCAACCUGGCAACGAAAUUUCAUUAAAAAUCAUGAACAUUUUUGAAAAUUCCGUAAUGUUUUUAAAUUUGUGAACAUUUCUUUCAAGUUGGCAACACGUCUUUUGAAUGGGUACUGCUACGCGUUAGCCGGCUGAUCCAUUUAAAAGAUCACCUGGUUCGCCGAGUGUUGGAUUUUGUGCAUUGUCGCUCUCCAUCUUUGCAAUAUAUAUGUUGUUGCAGAAAAUUUCUGCAACAGAGGCUUAGUUGCACUUUCUUUUGCAACUAGAGUUUUAUUCGAGAUUAGUUUUUGCAACAAAGAUUUUGUUAUAGAUUUUUUUGUAUUCAUCUUUAUGUUUUUUUGCAACGAAGGUUCUGUUGCAGUUUAAUGUUUGCAACAAAGCUUUUGUUGCAGAAUUAUUUUUCCAUCUCUUGUUUAUGCAACAUAGCUAAUGUUACAGAAGAAACUAGCAUCAUUGAUGGUGUUGCAGAAGUUGAAAAAACUAUCAAGAGCAAAGCGGCAUGUCACGUGGAAUACGUGUCGCGCGAGCAAGGCGAUGGAUGGAAUCCAAGAAAUCAGUCGGUUGAGAAGAAUCAUUUUCCUUUUUGGAUUUGCGAACGUUUUUUGUAUUUCAUGAAUAUUUUAAAAAACAAAAAAUAUUUUAAUUAAUGAAAUUUUUUGAACUCAGAAAUUUUAUUUGAAUUCAUGAAUAAUUUUUGAAUUCGUGAACACCAACAAAGCCUUUAGUCUCAAAUAAGUUGGGAUAGGCUAGAGGUAAAACCCAUAAGAUUUCGCGAUCAACUCAUGGUUCUGGCACAUGGAUAUCAAGCUUCCACGCCCCCUUGUCCAUUGCUAGUCCUUUGGUGAUGCUCCAAUCUUUUAGAUCUCUCUUUACACACUCUUCUCAUGUUAAAAGAUCGGUCUACCCUGGCCUCUUUUGACAUUAUCAGAAUGCUAUAGCCGCCCGCUAUGCAUUGGAGCUUCUGGAGGCCUGCGCUGAAUAUUCCCUACCAUCUUAGACGAUGUUGGACAAGUUUCUCUUCAAUUGGUGCUACCCCAACUCUAUCUUGUAUAUCAUCAUUUUGGAUUCUGCCCUUCCUUGUGUGGCCACACAUCCAUCUCAACGUGCGCAUAUUUGCCACACCUAGCUGUUGCACAUUUCGUCUUUUAAUCGACCAACACUCAACGUCAUACAACAUUGCGGGUCAAACCGUCAUCCUAUAGAACUUGCCUUUUAGCUUUUGUGGCACCCUCUUGUCACAAAGAAUGUCAGAAACUUGACGCCACUUCAUCCAUCCGGCUUUAAUUGGAUGGUUUACAUCUUCGUCGAUAUUGCCAUCUUUAUGCAACAUUGACCAUAAAUAUCAAAAGGUGUCCUUCUGAGGCACCACAUGCCCAUCAAGGCUAAUACCCCCCUCCUCCUCGUGCCUAGUAGUUUUGACUUCGUGAACGUUUUCUAAAAUUCGUAUACAUUUUUCAAACCCAAAAACAUUUAUUUAAUUAAUUAACAUUUUUUUACUCCCGAAAAACUAAUUAAUUAAACUCAUGAACAAUUUUAAAUUCGUAAAUUUGCUUUGAAUUCCAAAAUUUGUCGUGAAGUUAUGAAUAUUUUAUGAACUUACGAACUUCUUCCGGAAUUAGUAAGCAUUUCGUUGACUUCACGGACAUUUUUUAAUAACCGAGAACAUUUUUAGUGAACGUUUUACGAAUAUCCAAAUUCAUGGACAUUUUUGUGAGCAAAUUUUAUUUUAAAAUAUUUUGUUUUAAAUUUUUUAAAAGAGCGAAUUUACGAAUAUUCAAAUUCGUGGACAUAUUAGAAAAAUCAGAACUUUUCUGAAAGUACCAAUGUUUUUUGAAAAUGCAAGAAAAAACGCAAUUAAAAAUACAGGGGUUGUGUGAAUAUGGUACAAGCUUGCUAGUUGCCCCCCGCAUUGGUCGGUGAAUAGGCACUCUCCGAGAGGAUCGAUGUGCCGAAGGAAAGGGAGAAUCGCUGGGACCGCUCGAAAUGAUAAGGAAGACUCACUUGUUUUCUUUUAGGUUCUUUAUUUACACUAACAUAGCCUCGGGUUUUAGAGAGUUUAUAAAAAUUUGCGCACUAAAAAAAGAAUUCAGAAAACCCAUGCAAUAUCGAUUUUUUAUGGCGAAUUUAGAAAGAAGUUCAUGAAUUCCAACUCGCUUCUUGAAAGUGUAUGAUCUUGAAAAAAUAGCAGGAUUUGCAUAUUUGAAAAAUGUUUGCGUAUUUGAACAAAGUUCACGGAUGUAAGACAAUUUCAUGAAUUUGACAAAAUUUGAUCACUAAACCUAAAAACAUCGAUUUUCUACGACCGAAACCCAAAUUUGAUCACUAAAGAUUUUAAAACCGAACCUAUAAACAUCGGUUUUCUAAGACUCUAAUCGGAAUUGGAUUACUAAAGAAUUGAAAACCAAACCUAAAAAUAUGGGUUUUAUAAGAAGGAACCCGAAUAUGAUGAGUGAAUUCUGGUUUUUACAUCCUAUUUUGACAUUUUUGACACUAAUUACCCCAUUUACGUUUUUAUCAGUUUUACUCCAUUUAACAAAUGUGUUAUCACAAUUUACCCCGUUUAAAAUUUUAUAAGUGUUCUAACCGAUAGGUCCCAAUUAUACGGUCCAACUGGCAUAUGCUACAUCGGCGGGUUUUUUCUGAUGUUUUUUCUACAUGUCGAAACGCAUAGCCCUAAAUUCUCGUGACCGUUGAGGCUCGAUAUGAUCGCACGAGAGCAGCUUGGGAAAUAUAUACUGUCUCUCUACCGGUCAACAUAUUCACCACUUGGCUAAGUAUUUAGAUAUGUACAUGCAUCAAAGUUAGUGAAGUAGUAUAUUUACAUAACAGUUUUAAUCUGAUCGACAUAAUCAUGCAUACUGAGGGUCGUACAUGACAAUGUUGCAGAAAAACAUACAUGAUUAUAUCAAUAACAAUUUCUCCUAUAAUUUAUUCAAUGGGAUCAUGCCAUGCUUAUGAAGUACAUUCAUCUCAUCACCAUACUUCUUCGAACUGGAAACAAGGAGCCUAAACCUAUCAAAUAUGCAUCUCGGACUGAGAGAAAAUCUAGCCAUAAAAACUUAACCACCUGGGUUGAGCAGCAGAGGAUGGAGUCAUGCAUAGGAGGGGAGAAGAUUGUCAUACUGGCUCCAACGAUUGCCAGUAGCCAUGCCUUCAAGUUCUGCCUCCUGCUCGUUGAUACGUCUUCAACGUAUCUAUAAUUUUUUGAUGAUUUUAUGCUAUUAUCUUGUCAAACUUUGGACGUUUUGUAUGCCUUUUAUAUCUUUUUUGGGACUAACUUAUUAACUCAGUGUCAAGUGCCAGUUCCUGUUUUUUCCGUGUUUUUGACCCUUUUCAGAGGAGGAUUUUGAACGGAGUCCAAACGGAAUAAAAUCUGCGGAAUGAUUUUUCCAAUAACAGAAGACACACGGGAGACUUGAGAACCAAGGCAGGGGACCUCGGAGGAGGUCACAAGCCCACCAGGCCCGGCCUAGGGGGGGGGGGCGGGCCUAGCAGGCUUGUGAGCUCCCCGUGGCUCCCCUGCCUAGGUCUUUCGCCUAUAUAUUCCCUAAAAUCCCAGAAAAAAUCAGGAGAUCAUCGAAAAUAAUUUUCCGCCGCUGCAAGGUUCUGUCUCCGCAAGAUCCCAUCUGGGGCACAUUUUGGUGCCCUGCCGGAGGGGGGAUUCGGAUACAGAGGGUUCUUCAUCAACACUAUGACCUCUCCGAUGAUGCGUGAGUAGUUCACCAUAGACCUACGGGUCCAUAGCUAGUAGCUAGAUGGCUUCUUCUCUCUCUUGGAUAUUCAGUACAAAGUUCUCCAUGAUCUUCAUGGAGAUCUAUCCGAUGUAAUCUUCUUUUGCGGUGUGUUUGUCGAGAUCCGAUGAAUUGUGGAUUUAUGAUCAGAUUAUCUAUGAAUCUUAUUUGAGUUUCUUUUGAUCUCUUAUAUGCAUGAUUUCAUAUCCUUGUAAUUCUCUUCGAGUUGUGGGUUUUGUUUGGACAGCUUGAUCUACGAUUCUUGCAAUGGGAUAAGUGCUUGAUUUGGGUUCAUACCGUGCGGUGACGUCACCCAGUGACAGAAGGGGUAGCGAGGCACGCAUCAUGUUGUUGCCAUCAAGGGUAAAAAGAUGGGGUUUUCAUCAUUGGUUUGAGAUCUCACUUUUACUUCGGCCCCCGGGUCUACUCCACACUAUAUUUUCAGCCUUACACUUUUACUUUG
rnacentral:lncRNA from 1 species